UAUUUUGUUAACCAAAAGAUAGUAGUGGUAGGGGCUGGAAGGGCUCGGUGUUCUUAACAUGACUAUUCAGGCUGUUUCGAGAAUGGCAGGGAACAACGAUUCUAG